rnacentral:rRNA from 1 species
UACGAAGGGGGCUAGCGUUGCUCGGAAUCACUGGGCGUAAAGCGCACGUAGGCGGCUUUUUAAGUCAGGGGUGAAAUCCUGGAGCUCAACUCCAGAACUGCCUUUGAUACUGAGAAGCUUGAGUCCGGGAGAGGUGAGUGGAACUGCGAGUGUAGAGGUGAAAUUCGUAGAUAUUCGCAAGAACACCAGUGGCGAAGGCGGCUCACUGGACACAUAUUGACGCUGAGGUGCGAAAGCGUGGGGAGCAAACAGG